rnacentral:lncRNA from 1 species
GUCUUCCCUCGCGCGUAGAGAGUGACUCGAAGGACCCCCUCUCCUCUUCGCUGCAGCCCCUCCCCAUGCACGCUGGGAGACUCUUGGAGGGGAUAAGGUGGGGCCCGGAGAGGAAGAGAAGACAAUCGGAUUGGAUAGGCAGCUGCCAUGGCAACUGGAGGCUGUGGUUAUAUUGUCAUAGUAACCGAUGUGUGCGGACAGGGUCACCCUCCCCUUGGCCAAUGGAUUCCCAGGAAACCACCCAGGGUUCCCCGUUGGCUUCCCUUCCAUCUAAAGGCCUCCCCCAAGUUUCGGGCCAAAAAGCUGAAAUAAAGAACGAAGUCAAUAAUAAUAUGAAGUGUAUGAGAAAUAGCUGGAAAAUUCAUCAUCCAUGACUUGAAGAAAUUGACGUUUUACAAGUUAUAUUUUCGGUGAAGAGGCACUUUCAAGAUCCUUCUCUGAGACCUGCACCAAUAAGACUAUACCAAUGUUCAGUUGAAACAUCAGACACUGUUCUGGUUAUGAUGGACACCACAGUGAAAGAGACCUGGUCCCUGCCUUGAGGAAACCCAACUGCUGGUAGAGAGCUCAGAGUAAUGAUUAGGAUGCAAUAUGAGGGAUGCAGUAAUUGGGAUCUACUUCUGGGAACCGUCACAGCCUGAGAAAGAUGGCAUGCCCUGAAUGGAAUUCACAGAGAAUUAUUUUAAGUAAAAGAAGUUUAAAGUUA